GACGAACGCUGGCGGCGUGCUUAACACAUGCAAGUCGAACGGUAAGGCCCUUCGGGGUACACGAGUGGCGAACGGGUGAGUAACACGUGGGUGAUCUGCCCUGCACUUCGGGAUAAGCCUGGGAAACUGGGUCUAAUACCGGAUAGGACCACUGCCUCCACGGGCGGUGGUGGAAAGCUUUUGCGGUGUGGGAUGGGCCCGCGGCCUAUCAGCUUGUUGGUGGGGUGAUGGCCUACCAAGGCGACGACGGGUAGCCGGCCUGAGAGGGUGACCGGCCACACUGGGACUGAGAUACGGCCCAGACUCCUACGGGAGGCAGCAGUGGGGAAUAUUGCACAAUGGGCGCAAGCCUGAUGCAGCGACGCCGCGUGAGGGAUGACGGCCUUCGGGUUGUAAACCUCUUUCAGCACCGACGAAGCGCAAGUGACGGUAGGUGCAGAAGAAGGACCGGCCAACUACGUGCCAGCCGCCGCGGUAA
rnacentral:rRNA from 1 species